rnacentral:rRNA from 1 species
GAAAUGCGUAGAUAUUAGGAGGAACACCAGUUGCGAAGGCGGCUCUCUGGACUGUAACUGACGCUGAGGCACGAAAGCGUGGGGAGCAAACAGGAUUAGAUACCCUGGUAGUCCAAGCUGUAAACGAUGAGUACUAGGUGUCGGGGGUUACCCCCUUCGGUGCCGCAGCUAACGCAUUAAGUACUCCGCCUGGGAAGUACGCUCGCAAGAG